GACGAACGCUGGCGGCACGCCUAACACAUGCAAGUCGAACGGAACCUAUUGAAAGCUUGCUUUCAAGAAAGUUUAGUGGCGAACGGGUGAGUAACACGUGAGCAAUCUGCCUUUAAGAGGGGGAUAACAUUUGGAAACAAAUGCUAAUACCGCAUAAAAUAGUAACUUGGCAUCAAGAAACUAUCAAAGAUUUUAUCGCUUAAAGAUGAGCUCGCGCCUAAUUAGAUAGUUGGUGAGGUAAUGGCUCACCAAGUCAACGAUUAGUAGCCGGACUGAGAGGUUGAUCAGCCACACUGGGACUGGGACACGGCCCAGACUCCUACGGGAGGCAGCAGUGGGGAAUUUUGGACAAUGGGGGCAACCCUGAUCCAGCCAUGCCGCGUGCAGGAAGAAGGCCUUCGGUUG
rnacentral:rRNA from 1 species